GUAAAGUUUGAAUCUUGCUUUUGUUCUAUUAAGAAUUAAAUCUAUAUAUAAUUAUGAAAUUUAAAUAUAAGAAUAGUGUAGUAGAUAGUUUUAGGAAACAAUAAUUUGGGCCUAGUUAAAUUCAUAGGACUGACUAAAAUCGUGCCAGCCGUCGCGGUUAGACGAAGAGUUCGAGUAGAAUGAAGUGUUUAUUUUAAUUAACGUUAGAUUAAUUUAGUUGAAUUUAUUUUUUUUAAAAGUGAAAUUUAUAUAAAAUGUUAUUAUUUCUAUAAUAAUUUGUUGGAAUUAAAAAAUUUAGGACAAAGACCAGGAUUAGAUACCCUGUUAUUCUAAAUAAUGAAUAAAAAUGGGGUAGUAAAAGUUGUUCUUCAAACCCAAAGAUUUUGGCGGCAUUUUAACCAAAUAGAGGAGCUUGCCCCAUAAUCGAUAGACCUCGUUUUAUCUUGCCUUUAAUUAUGUAGCUUGUAUACCGCCGUUGUCAGAUUACUCUAGAAGGAUGUUUUCAAGAAAAAUAGUUUUUUAACUUCAGGUCAAGGUGCAGUUUAUGUAGAGGUGGAGGUGAGCUACAAUUUUUUUAAAAAGUACGGAUGUCUAAUUUAAAAAUUAAUUGAAGGUGGAUUUAUUAGUAAGUUAGUUUAAGUAAAAUUAACUGAAUAAGGUAAUAAAAUGUGCACAUAUCGCCCGUCACUCUCUUCUUAAGAGGAGAUAAGUCGUAACAAAGUAGAUGUACUGGAAAGUGCCUCUAGAAUGAA
rnacentral:ncRNA from 1 species